rnacentral:lncRNA from 10 species
AUUGUAAAAGGGUCCAUCUGUGCCUAUUGCCUAGAAAUGUUUACUGCUGUUUCAGAAAACCAACUGUAGAUCCUCCCUUUUCCCUCCUAGGCCAUUUUCCAAGACAUCAACAUGUAAGUUUUAUUUAAAAAUUUAUUUAGAGGUAAGUGGAAACUGUCAUUGUUCUCAUUUUGCUCUACAAGGAAUGGAAGUGUAAAGAGGUUAAGGUGAUUCAGCACCAGUGUGUUGGUCCGUUUGCAUUGCUAUAGAGGAAUACUGGACUCUGGGUGAUUUAUAAAGAAAAGUGGUUUAUUUGGCUCACAGUUCUGAGGGCUGUACAAACAAGGCACCAGCAUUUGUUUGGCUUCUGGUGAGGCACAGGGAGCUCUUAGUCAUGGUGGAAGGGAAGGGGAACGGCAUGUCACAUGGUAAGAAAGGAAGUGAGAGAGGGAGGGAGGAGGUGCUAGUCUCUUUUAAACAACCAAUCUCAUUACAGCAGGGAGGGCACCGAGUGCCUAUGAAGGAUCUGCCUCCAUGACCCAAACACCUCCCACCAGGCCCCACCUCCAACAUUGCGGAUUACAUAUCAGCAUGAGAUUUGCAGGGGACAGAGAUCUAAAAUGUAUCAACUAGGAAUCCUGGUGCAUGGUCCUGCCUCUGAAACUGCUCUUUGCCCAGGGUCUGUCAUCUCUACUUGUAAACUAUUGGUUACAUUUUCUGGCCAGGCUUCCAACUCUUCCUAAAAGUGCCUCCCAUUUUUCUGCCUUUGUGCUUUCUGCUCAUGCCAUUUGCUUUUGGGAGCUUUUCAAUUCUACCCACCCUGCGAGGCCCAGCCAGGGCUGACGUCCUCUGAGCAGCUUCUGUAACUACUCCAGUGGAAAGUGUUCUUCUCUUCCUCCAUAUUAGGAUGGUACCUAACUCUAUAUGAGCUGUCACAGCAUGAACCUUGAGUCAUUUCUCACAUUCUUUUCUUAAGCCAUCACCUGUACCUUGUGUUUGUAGCCUGCGAUUGCCAGGCCACAGCCAUCAGGGCUUUUGUGGAAAGGGGACAAUGAGUAUCAUAUUUCUUAGGCUCCUGCUGAGGCAGGUCCCUCUACCUCCCUUGAGGUCACCCUUGUUUCCGAGAGUCCCUGG